rnacentral:misc_RNA from 1 species
UUUCCGUAGGUGAACCUGCGGAAGGAUCAUUAUUGUAUAACCGACGUCCUAGCGUUGUCGCUGAUCUGACAGGACGUGCACGCCCGAGAGUGCUCACACAUGUCCAAGACACUCCUACGUGCAACACCGCGUGGUACACCGUGUGGCUUGUUCGGCGGGGGGCUUACGAUUUGAACCAAACAUAGUAUGCAGAGAAGUAUGUAAUUAUUGAGUUUGCGAUAACGCAAUCAAUAAAACUGUAAACAACGGAUCUCUUAGCUAUCGCAACGAAGAAGAACG